rnacentral:rRNA from 1 species
CGAAAGCCUGACGGAGCAAGACCGCGUGGGGGAGGAAUGCCUUAGGGUUGUAAACCUCUUUUCUCAGGGAAGAAGCUCUGACGGUACCUGAGGAAUCAGCCUCGGCUAACUCCGUGCCAGCAGCCGCGGUAAUACGGAGGAGGCAAGCGUUAUCCGGAAUUAUUGGGCGUAAAGCGUCCGCAGGUGGCGAUUCAAGUCUGCUGUCAAAGCACGGGGCUUAACUCCGUAAAGGCAGUGGAAACUGAAUAGCUAGAGUGCCGUAGGGGUAGAGGGAAUUCCCGGUGUAGCGGUGAAAUGCGUAGAGAUCGGGAAGAACAUCGGUGGCGAAAGCGCCCUACUGGGCCAUAACUGACACUGAGGGACGAAAGCUAGGGUAGCG